rnacentral:rRNA from 1 species
AUGCAAGUCGAACGAUGAACCACUUCGGUGGGGAUUAGUGGCGAACGGGUGAGUAACACGUGGGUAAUCUGCCCUUCACUCUGGGACAAGCCCUGGAAACGGGGUCUAAUACCGGAUAUCACUUCCACUCGCAUGGGUGGGGGUUGAAAGCUCCGGCGGUGAAGGAUGAGCCCGCGGCCUAUCAGCUUGUUGGUGAGGUAACGGCUCACCAAGGCGACGACGGGUAGCCGGCCUGAGAGGGCGACCGGCCACACUGGGACUGAGACACGGCCCAGACUCCUACGGGAGGCAGCAGUGGGGAAUAUUGCACAAUGGGCGAAAGCCUGAUGCAGCGACGCCGCGUGAGGGAUGACGGCCUUCGGGUUGUAAACCUCUUUCAGCAGGGAAGAAGCGAAAGUGACGGUACCUGCAGAAGAAGCGCCGGCUAACUACGUGCCAGCAGCCGCGGUAAUACGUAGGGCGCAAGCGUUGUCCGGAAUUAUUGGGCGUAAAGAGCUCGUAGGCGGCUUGUCACGUCGGGUGUGAAAGCCCGGGGCUUAACCCCGGGUCUGCAUUCGAUACGGGCUAGCUAGAGUGUGGUAGGGGAGAUCGGAAUUCCUGGUGUAGCGGUGAAAUGCGCAGAUAUCAGGAGGAACACCGGUGGCGAAGGCGGAUCUCUGGGCCAUUACUGACGCUGAGGAGCGAAAGCGUGGGGAGCGAACAGGAUUAGAUACCCUGGUAGUCCACGCCGUAAACGGUGGGAACUAGGUGUUGGCGACAUUCCACGUCGUCGGUGCCGCAGCUAACGCAUUAAGUUCCCCGCCUGGGGAGUACGGCCGCAAGGCUAAAACUCAAAGGAAUUGACGGGGGCCCGCACAAGCAGCGGAGCAUGUGGCUUAAUUCGACGCACGCGAAGAACCUUACCAAGGCUUGACAUCGCCCGGAAAGCAUCAUAGAUGAUGCCCCCCUUGUGGUCAGGUGACAGGUGGCUGCAUGGGCUGUCGUCAGCUCGUGUCGUGAGAUGUUGGGUUAAGUCCCGCAACGAGCGCAACCCUUGUUCUGUGUUGCCAGCAUGCCCUUCGGGGUGAUGGGGACUCACAGGAGACCGCCGGGGUCAACUCGGAGGAAGGUGGGGACGACGUCAAGUCAUCAUGCCCCUUAUGUCUUGGGCUGCACACGUGCUACAAUGGCAGGUACAAUGAGCUGCGAUACCGUGAGGUGGAGCGAAUCUCAAAAAGCCUGUCUCAGUUCGGAUUGGGGUCUGCAACUCGACCCCAUGAAGUCGGAGUUGCUAGUAAUCGCAGAUCAGCAUUGCUGCGGUGAAUACGUUCCCGGGCCUUGUACACACCGCCCGUCACGUCACGAAAGUCGGUAACACCCGAAGCCGGUGGCCCAACCCCCUUGUGGGGAGGGAGCUGUCGAAGGUGGGACUGGCGAUUGGGACGAAGUCGUAACAAGGUA